rnacentral:tRNA from 3 species
UCCUCGGUAGCUCAAUGGUAGAGCAUUCGGCUGUUAACCGAAGGGUUGUAGGUUCGAAUCCUACCCGGGGAGCCA